UACAGGGGGUGCAAACGUUGCUCGGAAUCAUUGGGCGUAAAGCGCACGUAGGCGGUUCGUUAUGUCGGAUGUGAAAGCCCUUGGCUUAACCGAGGAAGUGCAUCCGAAACUGGCGAGCUAGAGUACGAAAGAGGAUCGCGGAAUUCCCGGUGUAGAGGUGAAAUUCGUAGAUAUCGGGAGGAACACCGGUGGCGAAGGCGGCGAUCUGGGCCGAUACUGACGCUGAGGAGCGAAAGCGUGGGGAGCAAACAGG
rnacentral:rRNA from 1 species